GAUGUUUAUUGGACCCGAAACUGCUACGAGCUUGUUAUUAAUAAGUAUGAUAUAACAUGACUGAACCGGUGUCUGUAGUAAAAGACUCGGAAGAUUAAUAACAAGGAGUGAAAGGCUAAUCAAGUGCAGUGAUAGCUGGUUCCCGGCGAAAUCUAUUUAGGUAAAGUGGUAAUCAAAGACAAUUAAAGAUAUAUAAUAAUUGAUCUAUAAAUACUAAUCAGACAUAAAGCGGUAAGGUCUUAUGUCAAAAGGAAAAAAGUCCUAAAGUGAAGUUAAAGUCCCUAAUUGUUUUUUUUUAAAGA
rnacentral:rRNA from 1 species